rnacentral:rRNA from 1 species
UACGUAGGGGGCUAGCGUUGUCCGGAAUUACUGGGCGUAAAGCGUGCGCAGGCGGUUCGUUGUGUCGGCGGUGAAAGCCCCGGGCUCAACCUGGGAAUGGCCGUUGAAACUGGCGAACUGGAGUGUGGCAGAGGGGGGUGGAAUUCCGCGUGUAGCAGUGAAAUGCGUAGAGAUGCGGAGGAACACCGAUGGCGAAGGCAGCCCCCUGGGCUGACACUGACGCUCAGGCACGAAAGCGUGGGGAGCAAACAGG